AAUAAUGCAAAAUAUCUGACUUCCACUCCUGUCUCCCCCAAAACCCCAAGAUUAAUUUGGCUGAUCCGAUCAAGCAGGUGUCUGUUUUCUAUUUCAUUGCUCCGUGCACCGCCCUUCUGCACCCGUGACUUUCUCAAAGGGGAUGCUCUUCGCGGAGACUCGGGGGACAUUUCUUCUGCAAAGGAUAUAUGAGAAGCUGGGUUUCUCUGCAGGAAGCUCCAAAUGUGUUUUUAGGGGCUAUUUGUGGGAGAACAUGAGAGAGAAUUGCCAGAGAGAAAAAAACCUUUAAUGUUCAUCAGUUAUACAGAGAGCGUGUGAUGAUAAUU
rnacentral:snRNA from 1 species